rnacentral:rRNA from 1 species
AGUGAACGCUGGCGGUAGGCCUAACACAUGCAAGUCGAACGGCAGCACAGUAAGAGCUUGCUCUUACGGGUGGCGAGUGGCGGACAGGUGAGGAAUACAUCGGAAUCUACUUUUUCGUGGGGAUAACGUAGGGAAACUUACGCUAAUACCGCAUACGACCUACGGGUGAAAGCAGGGGAUCUUCGGACCUUGCGCGAUUGAAUGAGCCGAUGUCGGAUUAGCUAGUUGGCGGGGUAAAGGCCCACCAAGGCGACGAUCCGUAGCUGGUCUGAGAGGAUGAUCAGCCACACUGGAACUGAGACACGGUCCAGACUCCUACGGGAGGCAGCAGUGGGGAAUAUUGGACAAUGGGCGCAAGCCUGAUCCAGCCAUACCGCGUGGGUGAAGAAGGCCUUCGGGUUGUAAAGCCCUUUUGUUGGGAAAGAAAAGCAGCAGGUUAAUACCCCGCUGUUCUGACGGUACCCAAAGAAUAAGCACCGGCUAACUUCGUG